GAGGUAAUAAAUGACUCUUAAAUGAUCCUCUGAAGCUGGGAAGAGCUACAGCUUCAAAAAUUGAAUAAAGAAAACUUUACAGAGUGACUGGAGGAAUUAUAUAUAAAAAUAUAGUGUCCCCUCUAGCUGAUUCCAGAAAUUCAACCUUGGAAAAGUCAUUCUUAGGAGCUGGGCAGGCGUGGUUUCCUGGUCAAGAAUACCUGCUCUUGAGAGAGCAGACUGGGCUGAGUGCCUUUCUUAGAUGCUUUCCAAACUUCUGCUGAGCCAGACCUGGCUGAGCAAGCUCACAUCUCACGUGUAGCU
rnacentral:lncRNA from 1 species